rnacentral:rRNA from 1 species
GAUGAACGCUGGCGGCGUGCCUAAUACAUGCAAGUCGAGCGAACGGACGAGAAGCUUGCUUCUCUGAUGUUAGCGGCGGACGGGUGAGUAACACGUGGAUAACCUACCUAUAAGACUGGGAUAACUUCGGGAAACCGAAGCUAAUACCGGAUAAUAUUUUGAACCGCAUGGUUCAAAAGUGAAAGACGGUCUUGCUGUCACUUAUAGAUGGAUCCGCGCUGCAUUAGCUAGUUGGUAAGGUAACGGCUUACCAAGGCAACGAUGCAUAGCCGACCUGAGAGGGUGAUCGGCCACACUGGAACUGAGACACGGUCCAGACUCCUACGGGAGGCAGCAGUAGGGAAUCUUCCGCAAUGGGCGAAAGCCUGACGGGGCAACGCCGCGUGAGUGAUGAAGGUCUUCGGAUCGUAAAACUCUGUUAUUAGGGAAGAACAUAUGUGUAAGUAACUGUGCACAUCUUGACGGUACCUAAUCAGAAAGCCACGGCUAACUACGUGCCAGCAGCCGCGGUAAUACGUAGGUGGCAAGCGUUAUCCGGAAUUAUUGGGCGUAAAGCGCGCGUAGGCGGUUUUUUAAGUCUGAUGUGAAAGCCCACGGCUCAACCGUGGAGGGUCAUUGGAAACUGGAAAACUUGAGUGCAGAAGAGGAAAGUGGAAUUCCAUGUGUAGCGGUGAAAUGCGCAGAGAUAUGGAGGAACACCAGUGGCGAAGGCGACUUUCUGGUCUGUAACUGACGCUGAUGUGCGAAAGCGUGGGGAUCAAACAGGAUUAGAUACCCUGGUAGUCCACGCCGUAAACGAUGAGUGCUAAGUGUUAGGGGGUUUCCGCCCCUUAGUGCUGCAGCUAACGCAUUAAGCACUCCGCCUGGGGAGUACGACCGCAAGGUUGAAACUCAAAGGAAUUGACGGGGACCCGCACAAGCGGUGGAGCAUGUGGUUUAAUUCGAAGCAACGCGAAGAACCUUACCAAAUCUUGACAUCCUUUGACAACUCUAGAGAUAGAGCCUUCCCCUUCGGGGGACAAAGUGACAGGUGGUGCAUGGUUGUCGUCAGCUCGUGUCGUGAGAUGUUGGGUUAAGUCCCGCAACGAGCGCAACCCUUAAGCUUAGUUGCCAUCAUUAAGUUGGGCACUCUAAGUUGACUGCCGGUGACAAACCGGAGGAAGGUGGGGAUGACGUCAAAUCAUCAUGCCCCUUAUGAUUUGGGCUACACACGUGCUACAAUGGACAAUACAAAGGGCAGCGAAACCGCGAGGUCAAGCAAAUCCCAUAAAGUUGUUCUCAGUUCGGAUUGUAGUCUGCAACUCGACUACAUGAAGCUGGAAUCGCUAGUAAUCGUAGAUCAGCAUGCUACGGUGAAUACGUUCCCGGGUCU